rnacentral:rRNA from 1 species
CCUACGGGAGGCAGCAGUGGGGAAUCUUGCGCAAUGGGCGAAAGCCUGACGCAGCAACGCCGCGUGCGGGAAGAAGGCCUUCGGGUUGUAAACCGCUUUCAGCAGGAACGAAAAUGACGGUACCUGCAGAAGAAGGAGCGGCCAACUACGUGCCAGCAGCCGCGGUGACACGUAGGCUCCAAGCGUUGUCCGGAUUUAUUGGGCGUAAAGAGCUCGUAGGCGGUUCAGUAAGUCGGGUGUGAAAACUCUGGGCUCAACCCAGAGCCUGCAUUCGAAACUGCUGUGACUAGAGUUUGGUAGGGGAGCGGGGAAUUCCUAGUGUAGCGGUGAAAUGCGCAGAUAUUAGGAGGAGCACCGGUGGCGAAAGCGCCGCUCUGGGCCAAUACUGACGCUGAGGAGCGAAAGCGUGGGUAGCAAACAGGAUUAGAUACCCUGGUAGUCCACGCCGUAAACGAUGGCACUAGGUGUGGUUACAACUAACGAAUCCGUGCCGUCGCUAACGCAUAAGUAGCCCGCCGUCGGGAGGUACGGUCGCGACGAACGUAAACGUACGAAAGAGAAGUUAAGUACGGCGUUGAGACGUUGCCGAACGGACGACGACGAGGGAGGAGG